rnacentral:rRNA from 1 species
UACGGGGGGGGCAAGCGUUGUUCGGAAUUACUGGGCGUAAAGGGCUCGUAGGCGGCCAACUAAGUCAGACGUGAAAUCCCCAGGCUCAACCUGGGAACUGCGUCUGAUACUGGAUGGCUUGAAUCCGGGAGAGGGAUGCGGAAUUCCAGGUGUAGCGGUGAAAUGCGUAGAUAUCUGGAGGAACACCGGUGGCGAAGGCGGCAUCCUGGACCGACACUGACGCUGAGGAGCGAAAGCCAGGGGAGCAAACGGG